UCAUAGGAAGGUCUUUGAGAAAGGAUAUCCAGUUCAUUACAUCUUUUCCAUUUAGAACUAGACCAAAACCAUGACCAGCAGUAAGAAUCCAAACAGUUUUUAAAACUCCCCAUGGCAGAAACUGGCUAGAUAUUCACCAGAUACAUUUCCUCUUCCUAUGCACCCAGAUAAACUAUAUUUCCCCACUCACUUGCCCUUAGAAGUGGGGCCAUAUGACCAGUUCUUGUGAAUGAUAUGUGAGAAGGGAUGUGCCACUGCCCCACCAAGGCAGUUAGGAGGGCUGCACCUUCCCCACGUGCUCUCUCUUUCCCCCUGUCUGCUACCUGGAUGAUGCCAGGGUACCUUUGAGGUGACACACUGGAGAGAGCAGAGCCACAGCAUGGAAGGAGCUGAUCUUUAAAGGACUGUGCACAGAAGACCUUUCCCACACAAUGAAAUGCUCAGCCCCACCUCCCACCACUGACUGCAUUGAUGUUCAAGCUCCACUCUCCCCAGGUCCUGAUCUUGGAUAUCUUCCUGGAUUAUCUGAAUCACCAACCACGCUGGCCCAGGAAUGUGCCUCAGGAGGACUGUCUUGUCUACGAACUUGUUGGACGUGUGUAAAUUUGAUCACCACGACCUUGACUUGGAAGAACCAGAUUGCAGGCUCCACGCGACAGCAGACGGUGGCAGCAACUCGGAACUUAAUCUCUGAAUUCUAACUUGGGCCCAGUCAAGAGCGUCUGUCACUCUUAGAAACUUCAGCAAAACACUCCUAGUGUCUCAUGGGCUCCUUUGGGGUCGGUCACCCAUCCAUAAACCAACCACGACAGCCAAGGGAAUGGAAGGCUUGGCCAGGACGGAAUCACCUGACUCCACGUUCCAGGGCCCGAGGGAACCCACUGCGCGAGAGCUAUGUGGACUGAGGAUUCUGACCAGGAACGACGCCAAAACAAAGUGGCAGGGCUGUGUCUACAACAGGGGAGUUCAGAUGCCAGGCCACAACUCGGUUGUCCACUCUACAGCCUCACUUCUCCUCCAGGCUGGUUCUCCAUCUUACUAACACUAUCACCACUUUUUUGGGAUUACUUUUGACUUUUUCUCUUGUUUGAUCCCCAUACUUAUUUGGUCACCUGUAUAUGGUCGUGGGUGAGUGAAGUCUGAGUGGCGACUUCAGAGUAAAUGAGUGGCGACUUCAGGUGGGUAAAUCCCACCUCUGCUCUUUCCUAGCUGUAUAAAUUUGGGCAAGUUUACUACUCUUUGCCUAGUCUCCCCAUCUAAUAAAGUCUGCGUGUUAACAGGACCCUCUUCAUAGGGUUGCUGUGAGAAGUAAAUAAGCCAAUUCACAUAAAGCACUUAGACAAUAUCUGGCACAUAAAAACCAUUCUAUGCAUAUUAGCUAUUACUGUUAUGAUUAUUAUUCCCCCUCCACUUGGCACAGAGGUCAUAAAGAUUAAUAAUGGGGACACUUUAGCACAUGCUUAUUGGUUCCUGCGUGGUCCCACACUGCUUUUCCCGCUUUAUUUUCUGUUAUGUUCCAAUGUGGAGUUACUCUGGGAGGCUCCUUUCUUCUUUUCCUCGUAUUCCCUGUAUUCCUUAUUUUCAGCUUCUCUAUUUUGUUCAGUCUAUUCAUUUUUCCUGAGAUGCUCCUGCUUGUAUGUCUGGGUUUACCGUGGUUUGUGUUGGUGUUUAGAUUUCUUUUGCUUUGUUAGAGGUGCAGGCUAA
rnacentral:lncRNA from 1 species